GAUGAACGCUGGUGGCGUGCUUAACACAUGCAAGUCGAACGGUGAAAGGGAGCUUGCUCCCUGGAUCAGUGGCGAACGGGUGAGUAACACGUGGGCAACCUGCCCCAGACUUCGGGAUAACGCUUCGAAAGAGGUGCUAAUACCGGAUACGAACUCCUUGGGCAUCCUUGGAGUUGGAAAGUUUUUCGGUCUGGGAUGGGCCCGCGGCCUAUCAGCUUGUUGGUGAGGUAACGGCUCACCAAGGCGACGACGGGUAGCCGGCCUGAGAGGGCGACCGGCCACACUGGGACUGAGACACGGCCCAGACUCCUACGGGAGGCAGCAGUGGGGAAUAUUGCGCAAUGGGCGAAAGCCUGACGCAGCAACGCCGCGUGAGGGAUGACGGCCUUCGGGUUGUAAACCUCUUUCAGCAGGGAAGAAGCGAAAGUGACGGUACCUGCAGAAGAAGCACCGGCUAACUACGUGCCAGCCGCCGCCGUAAAAC
rnacentral:rRNA from 1 species